AAGAAUAACAUAGGUACAGAAAAGUGCAUGGAUCAUAAAUUUAGAACCCAGAGAAGUUUUGCAAAAUGAAAACACCUGUGAAACCACCACUUGGAUCAAGAAAUAGAACAUUCCAGCACCCUUUUCCUACCUCGUCCCAGUCACUCUCCUCACAAGGUGACUACUCUUCGUAUAUUUGUCCCCAUCAAGUCAUUUGACUGGGUUUUGAACUUCAUAUAAAUGAAAUUGUGUAGCACGUUCAUCUCUGUGCUCUUGAAGGGCAUCUACACAUUUCCAGCUUGGGUCCAUUACGAAGCAAGUUGAUAAGUUGCUCCACUUAUCUCAGCCUUUAGGUUUUUACUUGCUGUAAAACCCUCUCCAUAGUGACCUGAUUUCCAACCUCCCCCCUAGCCCUGCCCCACCAUCCAACACCAGUCUACAAGGCAUCAUUCGAACUUCAGUAAUCAGAGCUUCCCAGAAUAGUGAGUCUCAAAGGGCACGAGGACACCUCGCUGGGUAAGCCCUUUGAAAGAGUCUCCAGGGAAAGCACCCAGGAGGGGUUGGGACAUAUGCCGUGGAUCCAACACUCCAACACCCAGAGGGGGGAGCACUGAGCGUCCUUCCACAUCCCCCUUCCUUUCUCCUUCCACAGGGAUGCUUGGGUGGCCUCACAUCCCCCCUCCUCUGCAUGGUGUACUUUCUCUCCCUACUAGAACUAGGAUAAAAUAGCUUUGCUUAAAGCCAGGUCGCCUGACCCAUUUCGGAAGUGGGUCCUGAUGAGGAAAAGGUUAAGAGAAAGUCAGUUAGUCAUUGAUGGUUGUUGGCAUUUGCUCCCCUCAUCCUGGAGGAGGCCUGUACAGCAAUGGAAUGCUCUGCUUUUGCAUAAAACAAGGAUCCCAAUAAUAACAAGAGUUGAGAAUGACAGAGCAUUUGCUGUACUCAGAAGACCCUCCCCAGCCCCCAGGCAACAUCUUAGAUCUUAACACAUACAUACCAAAUACUCCCCAGGAGCUUUAUGAAGGCAACAUCGCCAUGUCCAUUUUCUGGAUGGGGAGCCUGAGGCUUGGAGUCCCUAUAUCACCUCCCUGUCUCAAGGUCACUCAACUAGGAAGUGGCGAAGGCAACACCUAAACUUAGGUGCGUGUGACUUCGGAGAAUAUGUUCUUCUACUCCUUGCAACUUGGCUUCCUGUUGAAGGAUGACUAUGACUUUCUUUUCAAUACUGACAGGUGAAGGUGCGCAGCACCAGGCUCCACUGCAACUGACUUGCAGGACAGUAUUAUUGGCGAUGAGAGUACAAAGACUGCUGCUUGCCCAAAUCUGCGUUUAUUUUUCACAGUUCUGAGCCUUCCUCCUUGUACCUGAUCUCUGUGCAAGCGGAGAGCAGCACGCUUACUCGUGUUAGGGUCAAAGGAGGCAGAGUCCAUAUUAAUGGGAUCAGAGCACCUUCUCUGCAGAGUCACACCAACAGGCCUGGCUGUGCUGACCCUGCAGCAUAUAAAGUCAGGCCACUAGCGGGAAACAGGGUGAUUUCCAACAUGCUUUCAAGUCAACUGUCAUCCAGUGUCAGAAGGAUCCUUAUUACCAACUCAGAAACCAAGCUACAGGAUUGCAGCUCUCUCCCCUCCUGCUGAUACAGGAAGUAGACUCGAGUCUCGCUUCCCUGGGACUGAUGACUGCAAUUUGUCUUUCUGGAGCAUCCACCAUGGCUCGGGCAGGCAGGCAACAGCCUGGCUGGAGAAGCCCUCCUGAUGCUUCCAAGUCAGCAGAUUGCUUCUGGCCUGGCCACACUUCAGUGCCUUCCCUUUAAAUACUGUAUUGAUUUUAGGGCCUUUUUCCAUCCACGAGGCCUAGGACCCUAAGUUGGCUGGAGUAGGAAGAUGGGGAGGAAGGUGUAAUGGGAGCCACUCAGCAGGUUUUCACACACAGCCUUAGGCCAUCUGAUGCUACUGAUUUAUUUUAUUUUAUUUAUUUAACAAAUGUAGUAAGACAUGGACGCCUCCGGUACCAUAGAGGACUCAGUGGGGAGAGAGAUCCAGGGAUGAAACAGUGGGUAGAAGGAGUAAACUGAUGGGAAAAAGAAAAAUAUGUUGCAUUCAGAAGGCCCAACAAGGCAUCCCCUGAACGGAAUUCCCUUCCUCUUUGCACCACUCCACUGGCUCCCUCCUCUCUGAGCCUCAUUCUGUCUCCGGCAGACAACUGAAAUCAGCCCCAGACAUCCUUCCCCAGUCUCCCUCUUAAUUAAUUCUCCAUGCAAUUGUUAGGAUGAACCCUUUUUUGACUUUUGUGUCUGACUUCUUUCAAUUAGCAUGAUAUGUUCAAGGUCUAUCAUUGUUACAGCAUGUAAAGGAUGUGGAGAAAUUAAAACCCUCAUCUACAGAUAUGGGAAUGUAAAAUGAUGCAGCUGCUAUGGGAAUAUACGGCAGUCCCUUAAGAACCUAAAGAUUUAAUUAAUAUACGACCCAGCUACUUUGGGUUCUAUUCCUGGGUACAUUCCCCACAGAACUGAAAAUAGGUGUUCAAAUAAGAACUCGUCCAUUGGGAGUUCCUGUUGUGGCUCAACAGGUUAAGGAUGUAGGUUUGAUCCCUGGCCUCACUCAGUGGGUUAAGGAUCUGGCAUUGCUGCAGAUGUAGUGUAGGUCCAGAUGUGGCUUGGAUCUGGCAUUGCUGUGGCUGUGGCGUAGGCCUCAGCUGCGGCUCCGAUUCAGCCUCUGGCCUGGGAACUUCGAUAUGCUGCAGGUUGAUUAAAACUGUGGUACUGUAGCCAGACAACGAGGAUCCUUCUGACCAAAUCAUGUCACUUUACUGCUUAAAUGCUUCAGUGGCUUUCCGUUACAUCUCCUGGGGCCCCUUCUGUGUGUCCUCAGCCUCUCCACCCCCGUUUGCUCAGCUGCACCCCCUCCACUGUGGGCGGAGACUACCUCUGCUGACACAUCUUCAGUGUGCUGCAUGUCCUCUGGGGGCACUGCCCGGGCUUUGCUCCACCCCCUUGCCCUGUACCCUAGACAGAGCCUGGCAUUACAGUCCACACCCUGGAAAGGUGUCUGAAGACUAAUGAACCAACCUAUUAGUCAAUAAGUGAUCAAUAACCAAAUAACGAAGCUGGAGUAUAGUGGAAGAAACAAAUAUCACACACAACAUAGAGAGAGAACAGUGACUCGGCAGAGGUGGUUAAGCAAUUAGGCAAAGGCAAUACUUAUGGCAAAGCCCUGGAAAAGGAGGUGGAGAGGGCCAUGGUGACAAAUUCGGCCACUGGAACACACCGACUUAUCACUUGAAUGAAGAGGGUUUCUCCUGGUGGUGGGAGGGGGGCGGGGGCAGAGCCAGUGACAAGCCUUCAAACUCUGCACCCACCAACCAGUCUAUGGCGGUGCUUAAGGGCAAAAGCUCGGGAUAAGGUCAACCUGACGGGGUAUCUGGCUAUAUCACUAACUAGCUGUAUGGUCUGCACAAGAUUUCAGCAUCUGAGCCCAUUUGCUCACCUAUAAAAUGCAGGUGGCCAGGACCCCCAUUUCAUGGGACCGUGUGAGAACUCAGUGAGAUGAUACACAACACAGGGCUGGAUGCCUCUCCUCGGAGCCCCGAGAGGAAUCUCAACCCCUGGAUCCUGCCUCUCUGCUUUUCCCCUCGUUUGUUCCAGUGUUUACUUUAGUAGCAAGAUCUCACUUUUGAACUUGCUGCCGCAGAGCUUUGCUGAUAGUCAUCCAUUUGUAUUUAUGCCUGAGGCUUCCUGCUUUAAUUUGGUCUUUACCUCAUUUUCAAGUUCAUGUAAUUAUGUUCUCAGCUCCAGGUUGGUUUUUUUGUUGUUGUUUCUGUUGCUGUUCUUUCCCAAAGCCCCUUGUAAACAGCACACCAGACGCUUGCUCCACUUAUUGGAGCCAUGGUGAAAGGACAAGGGAGUGUCCUGCUGCUCAUCCUCUACCAGCAUCUCCCCUCCUGUCUUCCUGAGACCCCUGUCCAGAGUGGGCUGGCUUUCAUCCUUACUGUUUAAUUCCAAUCUGCAGUGCUUCCCAGAUGGUGGCUUUGUGGGUCUUGUCCUAGUUUGUGUGCAGUGAGAAAGCACCUGAGAGCAGGAAUCAAGACACAGCAGAAGGUGGCCAGCCCUGCAACCCAUGGGACCGGAGACAGGAUUGCAUCCAGUGGUCGCACAGUGACACAGUAGCCAAAGCUGGUUUCACAUCUCUGGGUUCAUUAUUCCUGUUUCUGUGAGCAGCCUAGUCUAGGUUGCAUGGAGCACCACGGAAAAGCAAAAAGAGGUUGAGAGACGUGUGUUCCACCUAUAGCUCUGCCGCUCACUGACUAUUAUAGGCAAGCCACUCAACUUCCUGACCCUUAGUAUUUGUAGCUGUAAAGAAAAGUAAUAAUUUUUACAUGGUAAGGUCAUGGUGAGAAUUAAAUGAGAUUUAAAUAAAAUUACAUGUGCAAUGCAGUUAGUGUUGGCAUAUGCAGUCAGUCCUCCAUUUUCAUAGGUUCAACCAACCACAGACUGGAAAUAUUUGGAGAAAAAGAAUUUCAGAAGGUUCCAAAAAGCAAAACCUGAAUUUACCUCAUGCGAGCAACUAUUUACUUAGCAUUUACAUUGGAUUAGGCAUUAUAAGUAACUUAGAGAUGAUUUAAAAUAUAUGGCAGAAUAUGCUUAGGUUAUAGGCAAGUACUCUGCCAUGUUCAUAAGGGAACUUCUAUAGACUUUGGUAUCCAUGGGGGUCCUGGAACCAAUCCUGCCCCCCAGCGAGGGGCAAGUAUACUUAACAUUUAUUAAGUGUUAAUAUUAAUAGUAAACAUUACUGUCACUAUUAUUAAAUAUUGUCUAAUAUUUAGUAUGCUUCAUGUCCCCCACAGAGGCUCCCCAACUGCAUUAUAAUUGGCACUCUGCCUGGGUUUGAAUCCCAGCUCCAUCUGUCAGUAAUGAAAGGAUCUUAGGCAAAUUGCAUGGCCU
rnacentral:lncRNA from 1 species